AUUUUUUCAAACAGAAUCAGCUUGACAAAAGUACUGAUAUCGAGUUCUGCCAGAAUGGAAAGACCGGAUAAACCUAAAGUCUUGGUUACACGGCCAGAUAUACCUGACGCAGGCUUAAAUUUAUUGCGUGAACGGUGUCAAAUCAUAUUAUGGGAUAAACAUGAACCAAUACCACGAUCGCAGUUGUUAUCCAAAAUCCCUGGAAUAGAUGCCUUGUAUUGUGUGCUAACAGACAAGAUAGACGAUGAGAUUUUAGAUGCUGCUGGUCCACAAUUAAAAAUUGUGGCAUCUAUGUCAGUAGGAGUAGAUCAUCUAGAUUUAAAUGCUUUAAAGAGAAGAGGCAUUAGAGUUGGUUACACUCCAGAUGUUCUGACUGAAGCUACUGCAGAAUUGAUAGUAGGUCUUUUAUUAGCCACAUCAAGGAAAUUACUGCAAGCAAAUAAGGCAAUCUACAAAGGUGAAUGGAAAGCCUGGGCACCUGUGUGGAUGUGCGGUACAGGAUUGUCAGGAAAAACUGUAGGAAUCGUCGGUUUGGGGAGAAUAGGCUUCCGAGUCGCAGAGCUACUCAAGGGUUUCAACAUUGCCAAAAUAUUAUACACAAGUAGAACAAUCAAACCUGAAGCAUCUAAAUUUGGCGGUGAAAAAGUUGAAUUUAAUAGACUGCUCAAGGACAGCGAUUUCGUCAUAGUGGCCGUAGCAUUGACAUCAGAAACGAAACAUAUAUUUAAUACGGAAGCUUUUAAACAAAUGAAGAAAACGGCCAUAUUCGUUAACGGCAGUCGUGGAGAUGUCGUGGAUCAAGAAGCGCUGAUAAGCGCUUUGAAGAAUGGCACAAUCUCAGCAGCUGGUUUAGAUGUUAUGACACCAGAACCAAUACCUUUAGACAGUGAACUUUUAAAACUAGAUAAUUGCGUGGUUCUACCUCACAUAGGAAGUGCCACCACAGAAACCAGAGAAGAAAUGGCCAGAAUCACAGCAAGAAAUAUUAUAGCUGUCCUGGAAGGAACUCCAGAAAAUAUGCCUGCACAAAUUGAUUUAACAUAGUUGCAUCAUUACCGUGAUUGUACAGUGUAUAGGAUUCUUCCUAAUCAUGAUAUGAUAUAUAUUCGAUCAGCAAGAUCAAACGGAUACACGAUGGUUUUCGCUAAGAGUCCAGCAAUACUACCAGAAAACAUAGAAUUAUAGAAACUAGUAUCGGUAUUGGAGGUGUAUUUUUUAUAGAAAUCUAUAAAAAAUUCAUAGAAUGCAAAUUGCAGGCC